GAUGAACGCUAGCGGCAGGCCUAAUACAUGCAAGUCGAACGCUCAGUAGCAAUACUGGGAGUGGCGCACGGGUGCGUAACGCGUACACAAUCUACCUCUAAGCGGGGACACCUCCUGGAACGGGAGUUAAUACCGCAUAAUAUGCCGAGGUCGCAUGACUUUGGUAUUAAAGCAGCAAUGCACUUAGAGAUGAGUGUGCGUCCCAUUAGGUAGUUGGUGAGGUAACGGCUCACCAAGCCUAUGAUGGGUAGCCGGUCUGAGAGGAUGGUCGGCCACACGGGCACUGAGACACGGGCCCGGACUCCUACGGGAGGCAGCAGUAAGGAAUAUUGGUCAAUGGUGGAAACACUGAACCAGCCA
rnacentral:rRNA from 1 species